AUGGGGCAGCUGCAUCUCAUGCAGCCGGAACGCCAAAUCCAGAUCCGUGGUGGGUCGACUUCUUCAUUGGCCAUAAGAAACGGGCCACCUUGCCAAGAAGAUGAUGAUAAUUAUCACGAUGGCAAGAUAAGGGAGUAUUCAGGGACCGUACUUCCAGAGGACAUUUGGUGUCAUAUACAUUCACUAAUGACACCGCGAGAUGCUGCCCGUGCUGCCUGUGUGUCUCGUGCCUUUCGACGUUCCUGGAGAUGCUACUAUCCCAACCUCAUAUUUAAUAGUAAAACAAUAGGCCUAUCACGGGAUGGCAUGUAUUUCACCCGCAAAGUUGAUCAGGUUUUGGAAAAACACUCAGGCAUUGGCGUGAAGACAUUCGAGAUUGAUUGCUCCUGUUGCGACAAGCUCAAGGGCUAUGAAUAUCUCCAUAGGUGGCUUCAAAAAGUGGUUACACCGGGCAUUGAAAAACUCACCCUUGUGAUGCCUGAGAAUGAGCCAGUCAACUUCCCAUGCCCAGUUCUAUCCAAUGGGAAUGGAAGCUCGAUCUGGUAUCUUCACCUUGUUAACUGUGUCUUCCAUCCUACAGUUAGCCUUGGUUGUUUGGGAAAUCUGACAGUGUUGCAUCUUGACUGUGUGCGAAUUACAGGGCUCCAUUUAGGGUGCCUUCUUCCCAGCUGUGUUGUGUUGGAGCAGUUGAAACUCAGGAGAUGCUACCAGAUAACCUACCUAAAGAUACCUUCCCGGCUGCAGCGACUCAGCUACCUGCAGGUGUUAGAAUGCCACAGACUGCAGACGAUAGAGAACAAAGCUCCAAAUAUUAACAGUUUUCACUUUAUAGGUGACCGUGUUGAGUUCUUACUUGGCGAGUCAUUGCGAUUGAAGAAAUUAGACGUGCUAUGUUACCCCUUCCUCAGAUAUGCACUUGAUGAGCUUCCGUCCAUUGCGCCGAAUCUUGAAACUCUUAGCAUAUAUUCAUGGGUGAGGUGGUCAAUACAACACUGA
rnacentral:rRNA from 1 species